rnacentral:snoRNA from 1 species
CUCGAGACUAGAGUCACAGCCUGACAGCUCUUUCCUAGUGUGCUAGAGUCCUUAGAGAAAAUGUGCUGUUCUUGGUUCACUGGUGAGGGCAAUCAUUGCCCCCAGGAGUGCUCAGAUCAGAUACAUGC